CUGUGCUGUGCAGUUGAAAGACGUCGCUCGCUGGCUUCCACCGAACGAAAAGGCUCGCAAAUUAGACGCGAAAAAAACAUCAUUAAGUGGAGGAAUGAGGGAGAUGCAGUGAAGACUGAGGAGUCUGAAGACAGACGGACUAAGGGUAAAAAGGUAAAGGUUACCGGGAAGAGAGAGCAGGAUGCAGUCCCACCCACAGGACAGGCCAUUCGCCCUCUCCACAGGGAAAUCCCACAGCCCGACCAACGGGAGAGAAGAACAGGUGCACUCAGACGCAGACUCCAUGGAGGAAGAGGCAGACUUUAAUUGGGAGG